AUUGAACGCUGGCGGCAGGCCUAACACAUGCAAGUCGGGCGAGUGGCGGACGGGUGAGUAAUGUCUGGGCAACUGCCUGAUGGAGGGGGAUAACUACUGGAAACGGUAGCUAAUACCGCAUACCAUCUGAUGCACCCCUAUGGGAUUAGCUUGUAGGUGAGGUAAAGGCUUACCUAGGCGACGAUCCCUAGCUGGUCUGAGAGGAUGACCAGCCACACUGGAACUGAGACACGGUCCAGACUCCUACGGGAGGCAGCAGUGGGGAAUAUUGCACAAUGGGCGCAAGCCUGAUGCAGCCAUGCCGCGUGUAUGAAGAAGGCCUUCGGGGUGUAAAGUACUUUCAGCGGGGAGGCGUUACCGGCAGAAGAAGCACCGGCUAACUCCGUGCCAGCAGCCGCGGUAAUAC
rnacentral:rRNA from 1 species